rnacentral:rRNA from 1 species
GACGAACGCUGGCGGCGUGCCUAACACAUGCAAGUCGAGCGAAUGAAGUUCCUUCGGGAAUGGAUUUAGCGGCGGACGGGUGAGUAACACGUGGGCAACCUGCCUCAUAGAGGGGAAUAGCCUUCCGAAAGGGAGAUUAAUACCGCAUAAGAUUGUAGUAUCGCAUGAUACAGCAAUUAAAGGAGCAAUCCGCUAUGAGAUGGGCCCGCGGCGCAUUAGCUAGUUGGUGAGGUAACGGCUCACCAAGGCGACGAUGCGUAGCCGACCUGAGAGGGUGAUCGGCCACAUUGGGACUGAGACACGGCCCAGACUCCUACGGGAGGCAGCAGUGGGGAAUAUUGCACAAUGAGGGAAACCCUGAUGCAGCAACGCCGCGUGAGUGAUGACGGCCUUCGGGUUGUAAAGCUCUGUCUUCAGGGACGAUAAUGACGGUACCUGAGGAGGAAGCCACGGCUAACUACGUG